rnacentral:rRNA from 1 species
GGCGUGCCUAAUACAUGCAAGUCGAACGGUCUUUCUAUGGAAGCUUGCUUCCACUGAGAAGAUAGUGGCGAACGGGUGAGUAACACUGGGUAACCUGCCCAUAAGAGGGGGAUAACAUCCGGAAACGGGUGCUAAUACCGCAUAGUUUUCUUGAUCGCAUGAUCGGGAAAGGAAAGACGGCCUUUGUGCUGUCGCUUAUGGAUGGACCCGCGGCGUAUUAGUUAGUUGGUGAGGUAACGGCUCACCAAGACGAUGAUACGUAGCCGACCUGAGAGGGUGAUCGGCCACAUUGGGACUGAGACACGGCCCAAACUCCUACGGGAGGCAGCAGUAGGGAAUCUUCCGCAAUGGACGAAAGUCUGACGGAGCAACGUCGCGUGAGUGAAGAAAAGGUUUUCGGAUCGUAAAACUCUGUUGUCAGAGAAGAACAAGUUGGAGAGUAACUGCUCCAGCCUUGACGGUAUCUGACCAGAAAGCCACGGCUAACUACGGGUGCCAGCCGCAGC